GUGACCCCCAGGAAGGAGACAUCCAAGGAGCUGCAGUGGAAAGAGCUGUGUUUAUUACUAGUUGCAGCAAGGAAGAGCACACACCAUGGAGAACUGUGGGGCGCCUCAGUCAGAAGGUGUUAGAGAAGACUUAGCAUAGAAAUUGGGCUUGUGUUAGGGGAUUUGGGAGGGUCUGCAGAAGUGGGCUUCAGCUCUUUACUAGAUGCUAUCAGGAAGAUGGGAGGGGGGUUAAUCUUGUGAGUGGGAACUUUAAUCAAUCUUUUGUAGGAAGGAGUCUAGGGCCAGACUAAAGAUCUAAUUGGUAAAAGAGCAGCAGUCCCUUAUUGCCAGUGUCGGGUGCUUGGCUAUUGUUGUAGUUUGGGCAAUGUUCAUAUUUCUCUCUGAUCAGAGAUAGCUCCCUCUUUUCCUGUUUUUGGGUUAGGGGUGAGUGGUAAUAGCCCCACUGUUUCUGGCCCUGGGGCACUGCACUAGCCCACGUAGCUUUUCCCCUCACUGUGACCACACUAUUGCAAACAGCUCCUGAGUGAAAUCCUCCUUGAAUGGUCUAAUGUGAGUGUGUUGUUGAUUCUUGUUGAGACUCUCCCUGAUGCUGGAGGCUCCUACAAAUUUAGACUGAUUUAUCCUUCCACAGCACUGGGUGCUGAUCUUCACUUGGAAAUGAAGGGUUAUGAGGAUGGAGGGAUCCAUCUGGAGUGCAGAUCCACCGGCUGGUACCCCCAGCCCCACGUCCAGUGGAGAGAUGCCAAAGGGGAGGUCAUCCCAGCUGUGGCAGCACCUGUGGUUGCAGACGAAGUGGGCCUGUAUGCAAUGGCAGCGUCAGUGAUCAUGAGAGGAAGCUCCGGGGAGGGGGUAUCCUGUACCAUCAGAAAUUCCCUCCUCCAGCAGGAAAAGACAGCCAGGAUUUCCGUCGCAGACCCCUUCUUCAGGAGCGCCCAACCCUGGAUCGCCGCCCUGGCAGGGAGCCUGCCCAUCUUGCUGCUGCUUCUUGCUGUGGCGGGUUACUUCUUGUGGCGACAACAAGAGGAAAAAAAGACUCUGUUGAGGGAGAAAGAGAGAGAGCAAGAGAUGAGAGAAUUGGCACGGAGUGCAACAGAGCAGGAACAAAACAUAAGAGAGAAACUCACGGAAGAACUCAGUAAGUUACCAUUUCUCCAGACACCUAAGCAUGUCUUCCUAUCCCUGCUUUACGUACCUUGAUGACUCUUCCUUGUUUAUUCCAUUUCAGAGUGGAGAAAAAUCCAGUACAUGGCUCGUGAGUGGCUCUGGCAUUUUCUUUCCAAUUAUCACUUAUGACUCUCUCUGCUUGGAUAUUUUCCAACCCUUAACUCUGCCCAGGCUUGGGGAAUGGCUGUGGUCCCUGUGACAGGGAAAGAAAAUAAGUGUGGGUCAUGGAGAAACCCCCAGAAGGAGAGUAUUUCUCAUUCUCUCUCUCAGAAAAAGGAGGCCUUCAAUUUCCCUCCACUGAGGCCUACAAACUUUUUAGUCCUGAGAGACACUAAGGAAUAUCCAGGGGUGCACUUGAGAAGAAAGGGGGAAGAGGUGGAUGAGGUGCCUUGUCUAUGCCAGGAACCUGACUAAUUGCUUUACAAAAUUGAUAUGCUGUUGAGGAAAUAAGAAAAAUGGGAGAUUAUAAGGAAUGAGAAGAUCAGAAAAGAAGGAGGGAGAAAAGUGUUCCUCAUAUACAGAAGUAGGUACAGUGGCUCAGUUGGUAUAGAUUUAUUGUAACUACUUUCAAAAAUUAGUCCCUGAAAUUUCUCAUUAAGUUUCCCAGAUGAUUUUCAGAAGAAGGUAGGAAAGAAUACAGAUAGAUACAGAUGUAUAUACAUACAUACACACUUACAGACAUGGUGACAGCAAUACCCAAGUAUGGGAAUAUAGAUACAUACUGAAUAGAUCAGCUGGACCACAUCAGGAAGGUAAUAACACACUGCCUGUGGUGUCACUAGUGUGAUAUUCCUGGAUGUGAUAUGAAUGAAGAGAGGGAGGAGAGAAUUGAACAUGCAGAGGGAGAAGGUAGGGAAGAGUGGAGUGGUUAAAAAGAAGAUUAGAUGGAUGUAAAAAGAAGGCAGAAGGGCAGAGUUCACGUGACAUCUCUACCUUUCUUUCAUUGCAGUUGGUGGGAAUUCUCCAGCCUAUCAUGGUGAGUGACACUCAUGUUCUCUGAGUUUCCUGGGACACGUGCCCUGAGUGUUCCAGCCUUUUCUCUACUGUCACCCAUUGACAUUCUCACUUGGAAUAAUCAGAUCUAACUCAAAGGCUCAUUUUCAGUAGGGGCUUCCACUUCUGCUUUUCAGGAGCCUCUGAGAGAAGCCUGAGGCUGCUGGCACUCAUGCACACACCCUAGCAAACCCUGGCCAUGCUUCUGGUAGCCCCUCCUGACAGAGGGAAGGGAGCCCACCAUUUUGUACAAGUUGCCACUCAAGAAAAGGAGAGAGAAAAGACUGAGUGAGAAGAAUGGGAUGGGAAGAAUAGAAAUAUUGACCUUUUUCUUAUCUAUGUCUGCUUCCUUUCAGAAUGGAAAGUGGCCCUCUUCAAGCUGGUGAGUAAAAUCACUGUUGUUCCCUAGGCCAACAGCCUGGAGGACCAGAUCC
rnacentral:lncRNA from 1 species